GAUGAACGCUGGCGGCGUGCCUAAUACAUGCAAGUCGAGCGGACGGACGAGAAGCUUGCGUCUCUGAGGUUAGCGGCGGACGGGUGAGUAACACGUGGAUAACCUACCUAUAAGACUGGGAUAACUUCGGGAAACCGGAGCUAAUACCGGAUAAUAUUUUGAACCGCAUGGUUCAAAAGUGAAAGACGGUCUUGCUGUCACUUAUAGAUGGAUCCGCGCUGCAUUAGCUAGUUGGUAAGGUAACGGCUUACCAAGGCAACGAUGCAUAGCCGACCUGAGAGGGUGAUCGGCCACACUGGACCUGAGACACGGUCCAGACUCCGCCGGGGGGCCGCAGUAGGGACUCUUCCGCAAUGGGCGAAAGCCUGACGGUGCACCGCCGCGUGAGUGAUGAAGGUCUUCGGAUCGUAAAACUCUGUUAUUCGGAAGGAACAUAUGUGUAAGUAACUGUGCACAUCUUGACGGUACCUAAUCAGAAAGCCACGGCUAACUACGUG
rnacentral:rRNA from 1 species